GAUGAACGCUGGCGGCGUGCCUAAUACAUGCAAGUCGAGCGAACGGACGAGAAGCUUGCUUCUCUGAUGUUAGCGGCGGACGGGUGAGUAACACGUGGAUAACCUACCUAUAAGACUGGGAUAACUUCGGGAAACCGGAGCUAAUACCGGAUAAUAUUUUGAACCGCAUGGUUCAAAAGUGAAAGACGGUCUUGCUGUCACUUAUAGAUGGAUCCGCGCUGCAUUAGCUAGUUGGUAAGGUAACGGCUUACCAAGGCAACGAUGCAUAGCCGACCUGAGAGGGUGAUCGGCCACACUGGAACUGAGACACGGUCCAGACUCCUACGGGAGGCAGCAGUAGGGAAUCUUCCGCAAUGGGCGAAAGCCUGACGGAGCAACGCCGCGUGAGUGAUGAAGGUCUUCGGAUCGUAAAACUCUGUUAUUAGGGAAGAACAUAUGUGUAAGUAACUGUGCACAUCUUGACGGUACCUAAUCAGAAAGCCACGGCUAACUACGUGCCAGCAGCCGCGGUAGUACGUAGGUGGCAAGCGUUAUCCGGAAUUAUUGGGCGUAAAGCGCGCGUAGGCGGUUUUUUAAGUCUGAUGUGAAAGCCCACGGCUCAACCGUGGAGGGUCAUUGGAAACUGGAAAACUUGAGUGCAGAAGAGGAAAGUGGAAUUCCAUGUGUAGCGGUGAAAUGCGCAGAGAUAUGGAGGAACACCAGUGGCGAAGGCGACUUUCUGGUCUGUAACUGACGCUGAUGUGCGAAAGCGUGGGGAUCAAACAGGAUUAGAUACCCUGGUAGUCCACGCCGUAAACGAUGAGUGCUAAGUGUUAGGGGGUUUCCGCCCCUUAGUGCUGCAGCUAACGCAUUAAGCACUCCGCCUGGGGAGUACGACCGCAAGGUUGAAACUCAAAGGAAUUGACGGGGACCCGCACAAGCGGUGGAGCAUGUGGUUUAAUUCGAAGCAACGCGAAGAACCUUACCAAAUCUUGACAUCCUUUGACAACUCUAGAGAUAGAGCCUUCCCCUUCGGGGGACAAAGUGACAGGUGGUGCAUGGUUGUCGUCAGCUCGUGUCGUGAGAUGUUGGGUUAAGUCCCGCAACGAGCGCAACCCUUAAGCUUAGUUGCCAUCAUUAAGUUGGGCACUCUAAGUUGACUGCCGGUGACAAACCGGAGGAAGGUGGGGAUGACGUCAAAUCAUCAUGCCCCUUAUGAUUUGGGCUACACACGUGCUACAAUGGACAAUACAAAGGGCAGCGAAACCGCGAGGUCAAGCAAAUCCCAUAAAGUUGUUCUCAGUUCGGAUUGUAGUCUGCAACUCGACUACAUGAAGCUGGAAUCGCUAGUAAUCGUAGAUCAGCAUGCUACGGUGAAUACGUUCCCGGGUCU
rnacentral:rRNA from 1 species